rnacentral:rRNA from 1 species
UUGAAACCAAGGAUCUAUGGGAACAGCUUCAGAUUGGAGGCAAGGUGGCUAGAGGAAGAAGAAUGUGAAGCAGUGGUGAACAAUGCAUGGAAUACUGCCAGUUCAAGGGGCGAUGUCAAUACAUCAAGCAAGCUACAUGCAGUGGCAAGAGACCUAAAAUACUGGGAUCACAAUGUUCUUGGUGAUCUUGAGAAAAGAAUCAAGCAAACAAAAUUUGAGUUAGAGGAAAUCAGGAAAGGAGAUAUAAGUCAGGAAAAAGUCUUGAGAGAGCAUUUGUUAAGGGAAAAGCUAGAUAGACUGGAACAUCAGAAAGAUAUACACUGGAAACAACGAGCACAUGUUAAAUGGUUACAAUUUGGAGACAAGAAUACAACUUUCUUUCAUGCCUUUGCUUCAGAGAGGAAAAGGAAAAACACAAUUCAGAAAUUGAAAAGAGAGGACGGUAGCUGGGUGGAGGACGAAGACUCACUGAAAGAACAUAUUUUAGGCUACUUUUAUAGCCUUUUCUCCUCCACAGCGGGGUGA